GAGUGCUCUGAUCUUGGUUACACGUAAUAAUUACCGUAUUUGAUCCUGGUUGGAUUUCUGCAGACAUGGAGCUUCUACCACUUCUGUUUCCGAGCUUCUGUUUCCUGACUUUGUCCGGACUGACGUUUGCUGCUGAAUCCGCUCCACCUGCUGCCAGUUUUAAAGGGAGUGGCACAGCCAGGCCCCAAAAGGAUGGAGAGUGGCUGUACCCUGUUUCCAUUUCCUGAGGUUUUUACAGUCGUGGCCCAUUAACAUGAGGCUGUUACUGACUCUGAUGUGCAGGUUCAAACUGGCAGAGCUCAGCUGGUGAAAAGGACACAGACUGGAUGUGUUUCAAAUCUUUAUCAGUGAAAACAUUAAUAAUGUCACUCGGUCUGCAUAUUUUCAAUUGCGCAACAUUAAUUGUCUCCGUCCUUUUCUCACCCCACAUGCCACUGCCAUUCUUGUCCAUAGCCUUGUUACUUCCUGGAUUGAUUAUUGUAAUUCACUUCUUUUUGGUCUUACACAAAAAUCCAUCCACAAGCUUCAACGCGUCCAGAACUCUGCUGCCCGUAUCAUCACCAGGACCCCUUCUGUCCACCACAUCACUCCUGUCCUGCAGCAGCUUCAUUGGCUCCCGGUCAAAUAUCGUAUCAAUUUCAAAAUACUCUUGUACACAUUUAAAGCUAUUCAUCAUCUCUCUCCUCCAUAUCUCUCUGAUCUGGUUAACAUCACUGCCCCAUCUCGUUGUCUCAGAUCUUCUUCUUCCCUGUCACUCUCUGUCCCCUCCCCCCAUCUUGUCACCAUGGGGAGCAGGGCUUUCAGCUGCUCUGCUCCACGACUCUGGAAUUCCCUACCUCCUGAUUUAAGAAAUAUCUCUACCUUCUCUUUAAGUCCCAACUCAAAACCCACUUGUUCAAAAUAGCCUAUCCUACAUAACCUCUCCAUUCGACUAUUUUUAAUCUGUUUAUAUCCUAUACUUUUAUGAUUGUGUAAACUCCUUGCUUUUAUGUUGCUUUUACUCUAUUGUGUACAGUGACCUUGAGUGUUUUGAAAGGCGCUUUCAAAUAAAAUGUAUUAUUAUUAUUAUUAUUAAAAAUCUUUGGCCUCACAGUGUUGA